UACAUCCAAUAAGCUCUCCAUGUGAAAGCAGAAAUUGAUGAACUCUUCCCUGGCAAGAGAACAAAUUUUACCUGAAUGAGAGUUUGCAGGAAGAGGCAAUAGAAGAGAGGUCUCCUUGCUUGCCUGGCCCCAUCACACGUUGGUGGAGAGAUGUUCCUGGAUUCACUCUGGUUUAUUCUGGACCCAUUUGAAGCUCCCAUUGUGGUGAUUUCACUCUGGCUCCCUCUAUCAUUAAGAUCCAGGAUAAAGGAGGAGACUGAAUAUUAUGCUGUGCCAUCGUAUCUUGUCUAAGUUUCCAGAGUGCUGUGCCAGAACACCACAAUGUUCUCCAGUGCCCUGGAGAAUACAGGGUGGGAACUGGUGUUUACAACUCAACAUAGAGUUGAGGAAGGAAUGUUAGACUCCUAACUGCAGCCAACACACUGUAGGAAUGCUUUUUGUUUUGUUUUAGAAAUUUUCCUUUGACUUUAAGGAGAAUAAAGUCAUCUUUUCCACUCUCAGGAGAAAAGAAGGUCUAGCAUUUUGUCAUAAACACUGAAUUCUUGGGAAAAUAAAAAA